rnacentral:rRNA from 1 species
CGGUAAUUCCAGCUCCAAUAGCGUAUACUAAAGUUGUUGCAGCUAAAAAGCUCGUAGUUGGAUUUCUGCGGGGACGGAGCGGCCGGUCGCAACUUGCGACUCGAGCUAGCGCUUUCCCCGCAUCCUGCCGCGAACCGUGCUACCAUUAGCUUGGUGGCGCUGGGGAUCGGCUCGAUUACUUUGAGAAAAAUAGAGUGUUCAAAGCAGGCCACACGCCUUGAAUAAGUUAGCAUGGAAUAAUGACUAAGGACUUCGGUUCUAUUUUGUUGGUGUUCGGGACUGAAGUAAUGAUUGAUAGGGACAGUUGGGGCGGUCUGUAUUCCAAAGCGAGAGGUGAAAUUCUUAGACCUUCGGAAGACAAACAGCUGCGAAAGCGUUCCGCAAGGAUGUUCCCUUUGAUCAAGAACGAAAGUUGGGGGAUCGAAGACGAUCAGAUACCGUCGUAGUCUCAACUAUAAACUAUACCAGCUAGGGAUCGGUCAACGUUUAAUCAUUCGACUUGAUCGGCACCUUAUGAGAAAUCAAAGCAUCUGGGUUCCGGGGGGAGUAUGGUCGCAAGGCUGAAACUUAAAGGAAUUGACGGAAGGGCACCACCAGCCGUGGAGCCUGUGGCUUAAUUUGACUCAACACGGGAAAACUUACCAGGUCCAGACAUAGUAAGGAUUGACAGAUUGAUAGCUCUUUCUUGAUUCUGUGGGUGGUGGUGCAUGGCCGUUCUUAGUUGGUGGAGUGAUUUGUCUGGUUAAUUCCGUUAACGAACGAGACCCCAGCCUGCUAAAUAGCGCGGCUGAGCUUUGCUCGGUGCGAGCUUCUUAGAGGGACUAUGAUGCGCGAUAGCACAUGGAAGUUUGGGGCAAUAACAGGUCUGUGAUGCCCUUAGAUGUUCUGGGCCGCACACGGGCUACACUGGCGCCUGCAACGAGCAUAUCAGCUGGCCCGAGAGGGUCUUGGCUAAUCUUUUGAACCGGCGCCGUGCUUGGGAUUGACCAUUGCAAUUGUUGGUCAUGCAACGAGGAAUGCCUUGUAAACGCGAGUCAUCAGCUCGCAUUGAAUACGUCCCUGCCCUUUGUACACACCGCCCGUCGCUCCUACCGAUGAAUGUUCCGAUGAAAUUUUCGGAGAGCGCCAGAGAACGGGGCUCUGCCUUGCAGAUCUGGAGGCUCAAAGUCACUUAAAUCUGAACAUUUCGAGGAAGGAGAAGUCGUAACAAGGUAACC